UUCAUUUAUCAAUUAAUGUAGGCUGCUACUAAGUGGUACCAUUCUCCUCUGCUAACAUUAUGAACAUGCAGUAUGUUAGUCACUUACCUUUGGUUAUCCUUGUGUGGUGGUCAAUUAAUCUUCAUCACCAGCUUGCUUUACGACUCUCUGGCUUUAUCCAAACUUUAUAUUCUUUAGAUUUGUAUUCUAGCUCUCCGAUUUGAAAUGCAAAAUAACAGCAAGGAAGUUUGUCGUUGCCAUCUAAUCCCGAAUUUGACUGCUUUGCCUAUCAGUCAGAGUAGAGUAAACCUUUAUUAUUGAUUAAUAUAAUGAUAAUGACAUAAUAUAUAAUCCUUGUUGAUAUCAAGACGAGAUCUUGCCACCUACCAAACAUUUGUGAAAGCAAGUCAGGAGUGUGUGGUUCAAUGCUGGUUUAAGCAGCCUCACCUGGCCCGAGACCUACUUCUCUUAAACUUUACAGGAAAUUACACUCACCAGAAAUCCAAGCCAGGGUCUCUGCCAGGGUGUGUGUGUGCAGGGGCGCUGCCUGGCGGGGAAAAGUGGUACUGAUUCUAAGGGCCCAGCCAAACGCAGCACGGCCCACGGCCCGCGGAUGGCAAUUAAUAAUAUAAUAUUAAUAUUCUUGCCUUUUUUUUUUUUUUUAAAUGUCUCAUUACAAAGAAAUGGUAAUUGGAAAUAAACGUAUUAAACUCACAACUGUCGAUUUCCAUAACGUUUUCGUUAGUUAAUUAACAUAUUGUCAUUUGGCCUUCCCCCUGAGCUCUUGCGAAAUGGUUCAGCCGCAACGCACGAUGCGUUGAAUCGAACAGCAUCCGAAAUGUGAGAUGCUGGCACUGGCAGCAGGUGUACAGAGCGGCUGGGCUGGCUGAGGUCAGGUCUUAACCACAUGAUGGUGAGCUGGUGGUGACAGCUACAGAAAUGAAGUCAGGUUGGCAAAAACUGAAGGAAAGACGGGAGAAAGAGGAGAGGGCCAAAAGAGGCAGGCAACUGGUCACUCAAUUGUUCGCCAAUAAAGAAGGAGGACAAGAUCCGCCCACGGCCACCACGACUGGAUUCCAUUUCGGAGAAGGAGGUAAGCAACAUUAGUUUGGUAGGAUGUUAGUUGCUUUAGGAUGAAAGUUUUGAAUGAGGGUGCCUUCUAGGCUAGAUCAUAUUUCAGUAUUUGACGGUCAGUCGUUAGGUUCGAGAAAACAGAAUGUUUUUCUUUCUUUUACUGUAACUCUUGUUACUUGUAUAUUUUUAUUGAUGUCUACAAUGUGGAUCCAUUGAUAUUGUAUGCAAUUGCACUGUAAAUUAUGUUCUUUGUUUACAUUUUGAUUGUUACUUGGAGCUAUUUUUUGCACUUUAGACUUCAGCAAUUAAACUUUUUAUUCAUGAACAGUGUAAAUUGAGAUUUUUUUUCAUAUUGUUUGAAGCUGAAGUGUAAAUAUUUGUGUUGAUGUCAAGCAAUUGUAAUGUUAAUUCAGUUCCUAUAAGAGUCUAUCUUUUUAAUGUAUCUUUUUUAUGUACUAUUUAUGGAAUUUGAAAUUGUACUUGCAUAAUAAAUAUGUGUUUAAAGUAAGCAGAAACGGUGGAUUUUUUUGCAGUGCAUCAUGUCUUCUGAAAAGACUAUUGCAGUUAUACAAGGUAUGAAAUUGUGAGUACUCUUAUGGUUUCUUGGGGCUCUGGCUGUGAAGCAUCCACAGGCUUAUGCUGCCAUGUACUGGUUUAACAUUGUAAUGUACUCUCAAUUACAAAGCAAGGUCACUAACUACAUGAAUGGGUAACCAAUAAUCAAACUGACAAUUGUAGUACAGUUUCAAGCUGCUUACAGACAAUUUAAGCAUAACAAUCAAAUUUCUGUAUUUGUGAAUCUGUACACAGCUUUAUUUUCAACACAAAAUUCCAUUGGAUUUCCAUAGGUAUUUGUGUUGUGUGGAAAACAGUGUGUUUGGAUUUGCUGAAAAGUUGAUGUGUUGAAACCAAACUGGGUCAAGUCCAAUUUUAGCAUGAGAGAAGGACAUUGUUGUAAAAUUGUGUUUAAGCCGCUAUUGGACAAUAUGUAUAAGACUGCUGCCUAAAAGACAGUAGGCUAUAAAUACUUAGUUUAUUACUUGAAUUACAUGAUGUCACUAACUGAAUGAAAUACGUUUAAUAAGUAAGUUCAUACCCUUAUUUAAAGUCACACAAACCCAUACUCCAUGAAGGGGCA
ensembl:lncRNA